UUUGUAUCUGGUUGAUCCUGCCAGUAGUCAUACGCUCGUCUCAAAGAUUAAGCCAUGCAUGUGUAAGUAUAAAUAGUUAACUUUGAAACUGCGAAUGGCUCAUUAUAUCAGUUAUAGUUUAUUUGAUGAAGAAUACUAAUUGGAUAACCGUAGUAAUUCUAGAGCUAAUACAUGUAUAAAGUCUUGUAGACUGCAUUUAUUAGAAUGAAAACCAUAGGUUUCGGCCUAUUCGUGAGUAAUAAUAACUAAUCAUAUCGUAUGCUUAUGUAACGAUGUGUCUUUCAAGUUUCUGCCCUAUCAGCUUUCGAUGGUAGUGUAUUGGACUCCCAUGGCAGUAACGGGUAACGAAGAAUUUGGGUUCGAUUUCGGAGAGGGAGCCUGAGAGAUGGCUCCCACAUCCAAGGAAGGCAGCAGGCGCGUAAAUUACCCAAUCCUGACACAGGGAGGUAGUGACAAUAAAUCACAAUGCGGAACAAUGUUUUGCAAUUGGAUUGAGAACAACGUACAAACCUUAUCGAUAAACAAUUGGAGGGCAAGUCUGGUGCCAGCAGCCGCGGUAAUCCAUAUCCAAAGCCA
rnacentral:rRNA from 1 species